rnacentral:rRNA from 2 species
GCAUAUCAAUAAGCGGAGGAAAAGAAACCAACAGGGAUUGCCCUUAGUUAACGGCGAAGUGAAGCGGCAACAGCUCAAAUUUGAAAUCUGGCUCUCGGGCCCGAGUUGUAAUUUGUAGAGGAUGCUUUUGGUGAGGUGCCUUCCGAGUUCCCUGGAACGGGACGCCAUAGAGGGUGAGAGCCCCGUCUGGUUGGACACCGACCCUCUGUAAAGCUCCUUCGACGAGUCGAGUAGUUUGGGAAUGCUGCUCUAAAUGGGAGGUAUAUGUCUUCUAAAGCUAAAUAUUGGCCAGAGACCGAUAGCGCACAAGUAGAGUGAUCGAAAGAUGAAAAGCACUUUGAAAAGAGAGUUAAAAAGUACGUGAAAUUGUUGAAAGGGAAGCGCUUGUGACCAGACUUGGGCUUGGUUGAUCAUCCAGGGUUCUCCCUGGUGCACUCUUCCAGCCCAGGCCAGCAUCAGUUUGCCGUGGGGGAUAAAGGCGUCGGGAAUGUGGCUCCCUCCGGGGAGUGUUAUAGCCCGUCGUGUAAUACCCUGGGGCAGACUGAGGUUCGCGCAUCUGCAAGGAUGCUGGCGUAAUGGUCAUCAGCGACCCGUCUUGAAACACGGACCAAGGAGUCGUCUUCGUAUGCGAGUGUUCGGGUGUCAAACCCCUACGCGUAAUGAAAGUGAACGCAGGUGAGAGCUUCGGCGCAUCAUCGACCGAUCCUGAUGUUCUCGGAUGGAUUUGAGUAAGAGCAUACGGGGCCGGACCCGAAAGAAGGUGAACUAUGCCUGUAUAGGGUGAAGCCAGAGGAAACUUCUGGUGGAGGCUCGCAGCGGUUCUGACGUGCAAAUCGAUCGUCAAAUAUGGGCAUGGGGGCGAAAGACUAAUCGAACCUUCUAGUAGCUGGUUUCCGCCGAU